UUGCAGACAAUUCUUUGAAGCUGGAUGAUGAGCUGUACGAGGUGAAGCCUGGUCUCUCCAGCUACGCCGAUGAUCCUGUUGAGGGAGCCAAAUCAUUAUUGCCAUUGCUGGAGCUUGCCAAGGGCCGCAUUCCUCGCCAGGCUUGGGCUUCCACACCCUUGGUCUUGAAAGCUACGGCAGGUCUUCGACUCCUUCCAAGUGAGAAGGCUGAGGCACUACUACAGGAGGU